ensembl:miRNA gga-mir-12242 gga-mir-12242
GCCGAGGGGGGGUUGCGGCGCAGUUCUCCCGGCUCUGCUGCCCGCAGCACCGCUUCUCGCU